UUCCGGUUGAUCCCGCCGGAGGUCAUUGCUAUCGGAGUCCGAUUUAGCCAUGCUAGUCGUGCGAGUUCAUACUCGCGGCACCGAGCUCAGUAACACGUGGCCAAACUACCCUACAGAGACGGAUACCCUCGGGAAACUGAGGCUAACCCGUCAUACCGAUCUCAGGCUUGAAUCGCAGAGAUCACCAAAUGCCCCGGCGCUGUAGGAUGUGGCUGCGGUUGAUUAGGUUGACGGUGGGGUAACGGCCCACCGUGCCCAUAAUCAGUACAGGUUGUGAGAGCAAGAACCUGGAGACGGAAUCUGAGACAAGAUUCCGGGCCCUACGGGGCGCAGCAGGCGCGAAACCUUUACACUGCACGCACGUGCGAUAAGGGGACUCCGAGUGCGAGGGCAUAUCGUCCUCGCUUUCGUGUACCGUAGGGUGGUACACCAACAAGGGCUGGGCAAGACCGGUGCCAGCCGCCGCGGUAAUACCGGCAGCCCAAGUGAUGACCGAUCUUAUUGGGCCUAAAGCGUCCGUAGCUGGCUACGCAAGUCCGUCGGGAAAUCCACUCGCCCAACGAGUGGGCGUCCGACGGAAACUGCAUAGCUUGGGACCGGAAGGCUCGAAGGGUACGUGCGGGGUAGGAGUGAAAUCCUAUAAUCCCGCACGGACCACCGAUGGCGAAAGCACUUCGAGAAAACGGAUCCGACAGUGAGGGACGAAAGCCAGGGUCUCCAACCGGAUUAGAUACCCGGGUAGUCCUGGCCGUAAACAAUGUUCGCUAGGUAUG
rnacentral:rRNA from 1 species